rnacentral:rRNA from 1 species
GCGCGAAACCUCCGCAAUGCGAGCAAUCGCGACGGGGGGACCCCAAGUGCCACUCUUAACGGGGUGGCUUUUCUUAAGUGUAAAAAGCUUUUGGAAUAAGGGCUGGGCAAAACCGGUGCCAGCCGCCGCGGUAACACCGGCAGCCCAAGUGGUGGCCGUUUUUAUUGGGCCUAAAGCGUUCGUAGCCGGCCUGAUAAGUCUCUGGUGAAAUCCCGCAGCUUAACUGUGGGAAUUGCUGGAGAUACUAUCAGGCUUGAGGUCGGGAGAGGUUAGAGGUACUCCCAGGGUAGGGGUGAAAUCCUAUAAUCCUGGGAGGACCACCGGUGGCGAAGGCGUCUAACUGGAACGAACCUGACGGUGAGUAACGAAAGCCAGGGGCGCGAUCC